rnacentral:ncRNA from 1 species
AUAAUGAUACUUCUGUGAAGCUCGCCAUAAAAAGGGGAGAGGUGAAAAAUCCUAUGA